rnacentral:rRNA from 1 species
ACGAAGGGGGCUAGCGUUGCUCGGAAUCACUGGGCGUAAAGCGCACGUAGGCGGUCUUUUAAGUCAGGGGUGAAAUCCUGGAGCUCAACUCCAGAACUGCCUUUGAUACUGGGAGACUUGAGUCCGGGAGAGGUGAGUGGAACUGCGAGUGUAGAGGUGAAAUUCGUAGAUAUUCGCGAGAACACCGGUGGCGAAGGCGGCAUCCUGGACCGGUAUUGACGCUGAGGCGCGAAAGCCAGGGGAGCAAACGGGA